rnacentral:rRNA from 1 species
CGGAGGGAGCGAGCGUUGUUCGGAAUUACUGGGCGUAAAGCGUGCGCAGGCGGAUUUCCAAGUCAGGAGUGAAAUCCCAGGGCUCAACCCUGGAAUUGCUCUUGAAACUGGAUGUCUGGAGUCUCGGAGAGGUUGGCGGAAUUCCCAGUGUAGAGGUGAAAUUCGUAGAUAUUGGGAGGAACACCAGUGGCGUAAGCGGCCAACUGGACGAGUACUGACGCUCAUGCACGAAAGUGUGGGGAUCAAACAGGAUUAGAUACCCUGGUAGUCCACACCGUAAACGAUGUUCACUAGUUGUCGGGGAGCUUGCUCUUCGAUGACGCAGCUAACGCAUUAAGUGAACCGCCUGGGGAGUACGGUCGCAAGAUUA